GAUAUAAUGGAAGCGAAUGAAGCCGACGUAUCCAGUGCGUAUUCAGCUUUCAAGAGUUCGAGUUGUUGGUGUGUAGUUCUGCAAAGUCCACACAUUGGCAUUGCUUUCGCUUUUGGUGGUGCAUUUGCGUACAGAGUGCGCCGAAUCGGUUGGUCGCGCCUCUCGAACUCGGCGAAGGGAACUAACUUGUUAGAAAUUUUCGCCGACUUAAGGAGGAUGUGGCUAGCUGUUUGAAGGGCUUCUAGCGGUGUGCGGGGUGGAUUGGAGUUGUUCGCGCUGUGUGCAUGCAUACUGCGCUUGUGAUUUCAGUCUGUCUCGUGCACUUCCCAGCUCUUAUUCGGUGUCUAGUCGGUCACCCAUUUGACCCGUCUUGAAACACGGACCAAGGAGUUUAAGGUGUACGCAAGUCAUUGAGUGUUGAAAUUCAAAGGCGUAAUGAAAGUGGGACACUUGGUGUCUGCAAUACGAUCUGUUGGUGAUUCGUUGCCGGCGGAGCAGUGUUGACCCAUGACUAGAAUUCAUUCUGUUGUGGAGUCCGAGCGUACGCUUUGAGACCCGAAAGAUGUGUGAACUAUUCCUGAACAGGACGAAGUCAGAGGAAACUCUGAUGGAAGUCCGAAGCGGUUCUGACGUGCAAAUCGA
rnacentral:rRNA from 1 species